UCUAUGGUUCUGUCAUAUUAAACCUCCUUCAAGUUUGUACCUCUAGAACUCUGAGUUCUUUAUGUUCAGUUCUUCGAACAACCCUUCUCCGUCUCUUACUCUGCUAUGAAACCUUCCUUUUCCUAUCACUUAUUAUUAAGAAGUUAAGUAUACUUGUUUAAUUAUUCCAGAAGAUACUGAUAGGUACUAUUCUUGACUGUAAUUGCUUGUUUAAUUUUUUACCUCUCCAACUGGACUGGGAAAUCUGUGAAGGUAGAAAUUACAUCUCUUCUGGUCCACUUUUCACUGACAGUGUGCAAAGAAACAAAACACAUAUUUGUUGAAUGAAUGCAUCAGUGAAUGAGCUCACUCUAGUGUUAUUUUCUGAACAAUCUUUUGGAUGAUGGCUUUAGUAAUAAUUCUAAUUGAUGAGGCUGGCCUUUUUUCUAUAAAAUAUUAAGUUUUCCUUAUAGAAAUUUUAUCUAAAUGUGUAUUCCAUAUUUAAGAUGUUGCAAAACUGAUACUUCAACAGGCAUUAUAAUAGGACCGUUCCUAUAGGUACAUUUCUAACUACUGAAUAUGUGUCUUCACAGGCAUCCUUACCCUUAAUUCAAAUAAUGUUUAAUCAUCUGAAUAAUUGGUUUUACUUAAUAAAAUUAAUAUUAAUGUUAAUAUUAAUUUCCACAGCAUCAUAUAGCUUGAAGGAUGAACAAGAAUUUGAGUUUGGUUUAAAAAAACUAUAUUCUUCCCUUCUAACAUCAAAAGCUUAUAUUGGUCAGACAAGUAAGAUUCCAAAAGCCUGUGACUGCUCAAACUCAGCUAUGCAGAGAUCAAGAUUCCAUAGUCUUCCUGCAGGUUUCCAGUUCAGCUCUGCCCAGUUGUAAUUAAAGCACUUGUGUUGACUUACAUCUUCAGGUGGGUGAUAUUAUUAAAACAUACAUCCACAGGGAUAAUAGAAUGCUCAUUUAAAAACAACACUGAUGGAGUUCCCAUAAUGGUGCAGUGGAAACAAAUCUGACUAGGGACCAUGAUGUUGCGGGUUCGAACCCUGGCCUCGCUCAGUAGGUUAAGGAUCCGUUGUUGCCAUGACCUGUGGUGUAGGUCGCAGAUGUGACUGGGAUCCUGCAUUGCUAUGGCUAUGGCACAGGCCGGCAGCUGUAGCUCUGACUGAACCCCUAGCCUGGGAACCUCCAUAUUCCACGGGUGCAGCCCUAAUAAAAAGCAAAGAUAAAUAAAAUAAAUAAAAACAACACUGAUGAUGUUUUCCAGCUAAAUAAUGAUAUUUAUUUGAUAAUACUUGAGUAAUUAGUGAUUUGUUAGAUAAUGCUUGGUUGGAGAUUAAUGUAUCAUGUGCAGCUUCAUAGGUGUAUUAAUCAGGACUCUUCAGAGAAACAGAGCCAAUACCAUGUAGAAGUCAGAGAAGAGAGGGAAGGAGAGAGAGAUUGAUUGAUUAUAAGGAAUUGGCUUAUGUGGUUGUAGAAGUUGAUAGGUUCUAAGAUUGGUAGUUUACCAGCUUCAGACACAGGAGAGCUGGUAGUAUGGUUCUAGUGUGAAGGCCUGGGGGUGAGACUCAGAAGAGCCAGUGUUUCAGUAUGAGUUAGAAGGCAGGAAAAACAAAAACAAAACAAACUAUGGCCCAACUCAAAAGCAGUCAGGCAGGAGGAAUUCACCCUUAUUUGGGAGAGGGUGAACCUUUUGUUUUAUUUUAGGCCUUCACAUUAAUUGGAUGAGGCCUACUCACAUUAGGGAAGGAAAUCUCUUAUGCAAAUUUUAUUAAUAUGAAUAUUAAAUUCAUCCAAAAACACUCUCACAGAAACACCUGUAAUAGUGACUGACUAGAUAUCUGGGCACCCCAUGGUUCAGUCAAGCUAGCACAUAAGCAUAAUCAUUACAACAGGCAUUUAUUAUAUGCAUCCAUUAGGUACUUUCCUUUCUGUUUGUUUGUUUUUCUUUAGGGUUUUGAAGAGAUGAUAAUAGAUGGAAUUCCUAUGCUCCAGUUUUUAAAUUUGUGUUUGUCGUAGGCAGAAUUCUAAAAUAAUCCCCAAUGAGUCAUGCCAUUGUGUAAUCACCUUGAGUGUGAAUUGAACUUGUGAUUCACUUCUAACCAAUAGAAUAUGGUUGUGAAUUGACCUUGAGUGUGAUUAACCUUGAGUGUGAAUUGAACUUGUGUGUGAAUUGAACUUGUGACUUGCUUCUAGCUAAUAGAGUAUGGCAAAGGUAAUGGGAAAAUAAUUCCCUUGUUAUACUCUGUGCUAGUCUGUCUUAGACUGGAAUAAGAGUUUCCCCUGCUGGCUUUGAAGAAAUAAGCUGCAAUAUUAUGUAAGCACAAAGUAGCAAGAAACUGCCAGAGCCUUGAGCUACUGAGAGUGGCACCUGGAUAACAGCUAGCAAGGAAGCAGUGACCUCAUGAUCCAUGAAAACUGUGAGAUAAUAUGUAUGCUGUUCUAAGCCUCUAAAUUUGUAAUAAUUUGUUAAGCAGGAAUACAGAUAAUUGAUGCAGCAACUCUGCUGCAAAACUCUUCUCAAUCUCAAUAUUAAAAACUAUUCUAGGCGUAUUUUGAAAAGUGGAUGAGCAAAUUGCACUUAAUUACAACUUAAUAGAGCAGACAUAGAAGGCUCAAAAAUUGGGUUGAGAGUUGAGACCUCUGCAAAAGGAGGGCUAAAAGAAAUUCCGGUUGGAUAAACAGUAGAGAUUUGACUAAGAAAUUUUGCGUGGAGUAAAAGCAUGUUGGCAACAAGUGCAAAAUGUGUUCAAGUAUAGUAUGGGGGAUAAGAGAGUAGGCAUAUUUUUGUAUCUAAGCAGACUAUUUAUGUUGCCAAGUUUGUAAAAUCAUAGCAGGGGUUUGGCUUUGAGGCAUAACACUCAAAUAUCUAAGAAGAAAAACUACACAAAAUCAAAGCUCUGCUCUAAUGAAAGCCAGCAGCCUGAGCAAGCAGGAACAGGAUGUAGGGCUGCUAAUAAGACAACUGCUCACUUAUGAGAACUGGAUAAAACAUAACAAAUUCUGAAACUCUAGUAUCUAUACUAGACCUUUGUACUAAGGUUCAUAGUAGAAUGCAAAUACACACAUGCAUAUGUACAUAAAAUGACCCUUUUAUUCCUCAGAGAAACCCACAAGUCUUAUAGAAUGAGAACUUCCCUGAGAGGUUCUAAAUGCCUGAUUAUCACCGAGUACCCGCAGUGUGUGUCAGGGUUGGGGAAGGAGGAUUCCACUUAAAAGACAGAUUUGGGGAUCAAGCCCAUGCCUCUGAUAAUGUUCCGAAAGCAUCCACAGCAAUAAUCCAAACUAUUCUCACAGGAUGAUUUAAUGAAAAGUAUUAGCAGUUGGUCACUGCUUACCUCAUUCCAAACUGAAUCAGUCCAUGAAAUAUUUGGACUGAUUUAACUUUUUUUUAACAUUUUUUAACAUUUUUUUUUAACAUUUAACAUUUUUUUAACAUUUUUUUUUUCAUUUAUCUAGCAAAUUCCUUUAUCUCUCUUUAGCUUUAUUCCAUGAGCAAUGUUAGACUUUCUUUGUUACUCUUAGAUGCACAUUUACCUCAUAAGGGAUUGUAAGAAAUAGUAUUAUAAGUUACUAAAUGUUUGCAGAGGAAUUCUCAAUAUAAGCUCAUUUUCAAAUCAUCUUUUAAUAUCAAGAAAGUACAUAAACAAUGCAAGCAUGCAGGCACAUCUGGAUGGAAAAAAACAACCUAAGAUUAUUUUGUCACAUUAGAACGCCCUGUCUCAGGUCACACUGGUCCUAGGGAAGAAAUGAACAUGUUAAAUGACUGUAGUUUAGAAUAAAAGGAAUAUAGAGUCUAAUAAUGAGGCUCCAAACAAGAUGACCAAAGCCAGCUUUCUUUAAAACCAGUGGAGUUCAACUAAAAUUCUAAUUUAGAUUUGGACAAAAUUCUAAAAUCUUAGGCAUCAUAUUUCCAAUUCCCCAUGACCUGGACAAACUGUAUAUCUCUAAUUUAAGUAUUAUUUUUGACUCGUAGUCCAGUCAAAAAUAGAUACUUUUCAUUUUAGUCGAGGCUAUGCUAUCCUUUCUGACCCCUUUAUAUGUACUCUCUGUUCUUUUUGUUUGGAAUGCCUUUUAACUGAUAUUACUUGUUGGAAUACUUUAGUUUUCCUUAAAUUUUACUUAUAUUCUGCCUAAAAUCAUGGUAAACUGUUUUUGUCCUGAAAUACAUUCUAAAUGCUGUUCUCGCUUUACAUUAUUUCCCUAUCCUUCUUUUAGUUAUGCCAAAAAUCAUCUUCUAAUAUCACUGCUAGCAAUAUACUUGCCUAGAUAGCCUAGAAAAAAAAAUCCCUAAAGAUGCUAAGUAAAAUGUAACCACCAACCGUGUGCUCUUAAGAAAGUAAGUGAAGUCUACAAGUGGUGAGGGUGAUAAAGUAGAAAAUAAGCUUGUUACAAGGAUGUUGAAACCACAGGUGCCUUGAAGCUGUUUACAGAUUUUAUUAACCAAGAAUCUUGGGAAAAUAAAAUUUUUCUGAAAUUUCACAUGUGAAGGUCUUUCUCCUUUCAAUGGGAUUGAAAUUUGUUAGUUAUAUGUCCUAUAUGGUCCAAGAAACUCUAAGAUGAAACAUUAAUUUAAAAAUUGUUAUUGCCUACUGGUGCCUAGCAGGAAGAAAUACAAAUAUUCUCUGAAGGGAUUCAGCCUCAAUUCAGGACACAUAGAUUCCCACAUGUAAAACCCUGCCAAAGUUGAGCUCACAAUAUGAAAUUUCCAAAUGUGAAAAUAAACAAGCCAUCACAACUAAGAAUUAUUAGAAAUAACAAGUAGCAAAAUAAAAAACUUGAAAACUAUAGAUACUGAAAAUUUGGAAAAAGAAUAUAAGCUAAAGUAUUUAAAAGAUCUAAUUAAACAGAAGAGUUGAGUAAAGAAGUAAGAAACUUUGAAAACAUACCUAGCGUUAUCUGAUGAAAAAGAAAAUUGCAUCCAAACACCAGAAAAAUAUUCCAACUGGAACAAAUAUUUCCAUGUAAAAUAUGAAAUAAUGAAUGUACUAGGAGGAAUCAUGGAAGAGUAUUUUAUAACAUCUGAGUGUCUAAAUUUUUUCUGAAAAUAAAAAAUUCCAAAAAUAAUUAGAGAAAGGACUGAAAAAUUCCUCUAUGUAAAAGUAAAAAAAAUUCUGCUUAGAUUUCCCGUCGUGGCUCUGCAAAAACAAAUCCUGCUGGUAUCCAUAAGGAUGAGGGUUCAAUCCCUGGCCUUACUCAGUGGGUUAAGGAUUGGGUGUUGCCUUGAGCUGUGGUGUAGGUCACAGACGCGGCUUGGAUCCCUUGGAUCCCGCGUUGCUCUGGCUGUGGUGUAGGCUGGAAGCUAAAGCUCCAUGCAACCCCCAGCCUGGGAAUUUCCAUAUGCUGUGGGUGUGAC
rnacentral:lncRNA from 1 species